rnacentral:tRNA from 1 species
GCCCCAGGGUAUACCAGCGGACUCAUAAUCCGCUGGUCGCAGGUUCGAGCCCUGCUGGGGGCA